AUACAGAGGGUGCGAGCGUUAAUCGGAAUUACUGGGCGUAAAGCGCGCGUAGGCGGCUUGGUCAGUCGGAUGUGAAAGCCCCGGGCUCAACCUGGGAAUGGCAUUCGAUACUGCCAGGCUAGAGGAUGGGAGAGGGAAGUGGAAUUUCCGGUGUAGCGGUGAAAUGCGUAGAUAUCGGAAGGAACACCAGUGGCGAAGGCGACUUCCUGGCCCAAUACUGACGCUGAGGUGCGAAAGCGUGGGGAGCGAACAGGAUUAGAAACCCUAGUAGUCC
rnacentral:rRNA from 1 species